GUGGGGAAUCUUCCGCAAUGGACGAAAGUCUGACGGAGCGACGCCGCGUGAGUGAAGAAGGCCUUCGGGUCGUAAAGCUCUGUUAUAUGGGACGAACGGGCAUGGGGCGAAUACCCUCAUGCAGUGACGGUACCGUAAGAGAAAGCCACGGCUAACUACGUGCCAGCAGCCGCGGUAAUACGUAGGUGGCAAGCGUUGUCCGGAAUUAUUGGGCGUAAAGGGCGUGUAGGAGGCCAGACAAGUCUGUCUUAAAAGUGCGGGGCUCAACCCCGUGAUGGGAUGGAAACUGUCGGGCUAGAGUGUCGGAGAGGAAAGCGGAAUUCCUAGUGUAGCGGUGAAAUGCGUAGAUAUUAGGAGGAACACCAGUGGCGAAAGCGGCUUUCUGGACGACAACUGACGCUGAGGCGCGAAAGCCAGGGGAGCAAACGGGAUUAGAAACCCCGGUGGUCC
rnacentral:rRNA from 1 species